UACGGGGGGGCAAGCGUUGUUCGGAAUUACUGGGCGUAAAGGGCUCGUAGGCGGCCAACUAAGUCAGACGUGAAAUCCCUCGGCUUAACCGGGGAACUGCGUCUGAUACUGGAUGGCUUGAGUUUGGGAGAGGGAUGCGGAAUUCCAGGUGUAGCGGUGAAAUGCGUAGAUAUCUGGAGGAACACCGGUGGCGAAGGCGGCAUCCUGGACCAACACUGACGCUGAGGAGCGAAAGCCAGGGAGCAA
rnacentral:rRNA from 1 species